ACAGUAUGAAAUACGCUGAUUGGGAAGCGGGUUUCCCCACCUCUGAAUCACCUGCACGAAGUAGGGGUGACCUGGCAGAGAAGUACAGAGACAGGCAGGAUGCGCGCCCUAUGCUGCCAGAACCAUCACGGGGCGUCAGCAGCAAGGACGACUCCCCUUCCUCCCACCAAGGCCAGAGGGCCUCUGAGUCACACAGGAAACCAACAGAGAAGACAGGCUGUGCUCCUGGGGACAGAGUGUCGGCUCUAAAACCCAAAUCCGCAUGUGCAGACUAGAAAACAGUGACGGCUGCAGGUGAUUUCCCGCAAGCCUGCAAUGGGCCGGUAAGCCCAGGGCCUCUGCAGGGAGACGCAGGUGCACCGCCCUGGCCUUGGCAUUGAACUGCACACUUUUGCCCGGGUGUGGCAGAGGGUGGCGACAGACGGGCCCUGCACUCGCUCCCGGGGCCUCGGGGGGUGAUGGAGGCAGCGCCUCACUCUACUCCCUACAUCCCUCCUGGGUCUGGGCUGAGGGUCCCGGGACGUCUGUGGGGCUCAGACCCCAGCACGGAGGCCAGGAGCUGAGCUACCAACAGCCGGGCCAGCUCAGAUGGCAGGACUGAACUCUGGGGUCGAUAGAAGCACCCCGAAGACUCCAGAGACAUGUUUGGAGUGAGGCCUCUGUUGAGGAGCAGAGUCCCAGCAUCACACAGGAGGUGAAUUCAGCGUUACGUCACUGUCCUUGGCUUAGCCACAGGUGGCUGCACUGGGUGUGAGAGUGUCCACAUCCACCCUCUUCUGCACAGGCUGUAGGGGGAGCUCGGGAGUCAGGACCCUCGGGGUAAGACCAGACCAGUCCAGGCCCCAGAGAAAAUGCACUGAAAUCCUCAGGCUGGGACAGCUUCAGGCACAGUGUGAUCCUGCAGCUCAGGCUUGACUUCAGGGCUCUGGUUUCCUAUGUCCAGGGCCCUCCCAGGCCAGCGACUCCUUGGAGGUAAGUCCACUGAAGCCACCUGUCUUCUCCAAGCAGGUUCAGCCAAGUGCCCACCCCUGAACCCAUUGCCCAGGCCGUGGGAAUGGAAUGUUCUAGUCUCAUAGGUCUGGAUCACAGGAGCACACCUGCUCUGGGGGCAGAGUCAGUCCCACCCAGACCAGACUAUGUGGACAGAGAGGGGAGUAGGGGACUCCCAAGUAAGCCAGGUAUGUGGCCUGCAGCAGAGACGGUCCCUCAGCUGUCUUCUCCAGGACCCCCAGGCUGCCGUCAGCCAGGACUCAUAAAAACCUCUGGCAGACAAGAGGCCCCGCCCAGCACCUAGGGUGCCCACUGAGCUUCUCUCCUGGCAGCCUGCCGGGUUCCCCAGGGAGGACAGCGCUGGGAAGCCCAGCGCACGGAAGGGCCGAGACGCCUGUGUGAAGACAGCUGGGUGCGCCUCCAUCCCAUGGGAUGUGGAUGUAUCCCCUGAGUCCCAGGACGCUGGCCCAUUUGUGUCACUCAUCAGCCUGGACUCAUUUUCUGAGUGACUGCGCCUCUCCCUAGGAGCCCCAAGAAGAGACAGCCAGGGGGUGCUGCUGAUUAAUGAGGCUCAGCUGGAAUCAGCUGUUUCAAAGUCUAAAGGCUGUGGAUGGGAUUUCUGAUUGCAGAGGUGGAAAAAGAGUUAAACUGUAGUGCAGACCAGUCUCGCCAUCCAAGAUGUUUUCUGAUGCUGUGUUUGGUUCUGAUAAUUGAUUGGUUGGAAGCUGUUCAACUUCGUGGAGAAACCAGAGCUACUGCAGAUUUCACUGAGUCUCCAGAAGACUCAGUUACGUUGUCUCCCCCGGGAGCGCCCAGAACUGUCCACAUCGGUGCCAUUUCAAAGACAGAGGGCUGAGCGGCUUUCCGAGGGAGCGACCAUUGUUUUCUAGCCCCAGAAACGGGGGAGAGGAGCAGGCUGUGUCUGCUCAGAGCAGAGCCCUGGGCUUGCCUGGCCCAGACCCUGGAACCCCAGGACCCUGGGACCAGGGAGCCCCGCUGAGGCCCAAGCCCGGGUUUCCUCAUCUGGAGAAGGGGCUGAGGACAGCGGCUGCUGUGUAGGGUCUCUGUCGGCUGCAGGAGAGAGGGCAGCAGUCCUGGCACCUCCCAAGCCCCGCAAAUGUCCAGGAAGUGACCCCAGGGGUGAAUCGCCACUCUCAUGUUACACAGCUUGCGAUGUCUUCCCACUGUCCUGAAAGUCCCAAAGUCCCAAACCUCUACACGCCAUGGAAAAGUCCCCAAAAGGCAGGUAAGGAAGUGUUGAAGGAACUUUAACAUAGGGAGAGAAUUUGUGUCUGGGCUUUCUAGAGUGUGGUGCUCAUGGGAAAUUGGACUUCGCCGGGCUCCCGCACCUUCCUUGGGGACGUGGUUUUCAGUAACGGGGGGGGGCGCCCCACAGCCUUGGCCGACUCAGCCCUGGCAGCCUGGAUCCAUCCAGGGCUGCGGGACCUGCCCCACCCCCCACAUGUGCUGUCCUCAUCCUCCCGAGCCCCUGGGUCUGGGUCAGAGCAGGCUCCCCACCUCCACAAGCUCCCCGCCAACCAGCCACCCCCCGGCUUCACCUGCAACCUCCCAACAACUGCUCCCGUCUCGGGGGAUCUGCCACCUGUGCCUGGAGGCGCCCCACACCCCCACGCCCGUGGGCUUUAAACCACGUUCAUGAACUCCCACCCCUCCCUCUUAUCUUCUCACUGGUUCAUAUCGAAUAUUUUCAUUUAAAAUAUGAAGACAUGAUUGCAGAAAUGUAACUCCUCGUGUUUUAUAAACAUUGACGUUUUAGAAACUGCCCCAUCCUCUUCUCAGUGUCUCCAGUAACGCCGAGACCACAGACACCCCCUUCUCACCAUCGACGUUUAAACGUUCAGCGGGAAACCGCACCGUCCGUUCUGCUCCAGUUCCCAGCUCACCGCGUCCCAUUUCUCCAGGGAGCACUUGACGCCUGCACUGGUUACCGGUUGCCAGGUUCUAUCCCAAACGAAAAGCGUGCCCAAGAGCAUGCAGGGUGGAAGAGGAGAUGCAGAUUAAAACCUGUCUUCUGAUUUGCGUGCCCUGUUGGUGUGCAGUUCUGUGGGUUUGGACAACCGCCCUGACUCCUGUAAGCACCCCCAGAACAGCCCCAUCACCCCACAUCCUUCCUGCUUCCUCUGCACUCACCCUCCCCUCCGCAGGCCGCUUCUCUGCCAUCCAGCGCGUCCUAUAAAUGAGCUUGUGCCCUGGGAGCCUUCUGGGUGGGUUCCCCGCCCUCAGCCCGGGUCACUGAGAGUCUCCCGGCGGCCGAGCGCACCCACGGCCUGCCCUGCCGUCUCCCUGCCGUGUGUCCACCGCACGGACGCCCCGCUCCUUCUCCGUUCACUGGUUGGGGGACCCGAGCGUUGUUCCCAGUUUCUGCGAUUACAAAUAAAGCUGCCAGGAACAUUUA